AAUCCACUUGCAGCCUCCUGCCUAGAGAAUCUAUAGAGGCGGGUCUUCCUUAAUAUAUGUCAGCAGUGGAGUGGUGUGCUUAAGGAGAGAGAGACUUGGAAAAAUACAGACCGAGAACAAGGCCAUGUGGAGAUAGAGGCAGAGACUGAAGUUGUACCACCAAAGGCAAAGAAUAUCAAGUAUUAUCAGUAACCACAGGAAGCUGGAAGAGGCCAGGAAAGGUUUUUCUUAGAGACCUUGGAAGGAGCCUGACCCUGGAACACCUUGAUUUUAGACUUCUGACCCUCAAAAUUGUGAAAGAAUAAAUUUCUGUUGUUU
rnacentral:lncRNA from 1 species